rnacentral:rRNA from 1 species
GACGAACCGUGCGAACGUUAUUCGGAAUCACUGGGCUUAAAGCGCGUGUAGGCGGGAGGGCACGUCCGUCGCUGAAAGCCCCCAGCUCAACUGGGGAAGUGCCUUGGAUACUGAUUUGCUCGAGGGAGGUAGGGGUCGCGGGAACUUCCGGUGGAGCGGUGAAAUGCGUUGAUAUCGGAAGGAACGCCGGUGGCGAAAGCGCGCGACUGGACCUCUUCUGACGCUGAGGCGCGAAAGCCAGGGGAG